rnacentral:rRNA from 1 species
AUUGAACGCUGGCGGCAUGCCUUACACAUGCAAGUCGAACGGCAGCACGGGAGCAAUCCUGGUGGCGAGUGGCGAACGGGUGAGUAAUACAUCGGAACGUGCCCAGUUGUGGGGGAUAGCCCGGCGAAAGCCGGAUUAAUACCGCAUACGACCUACGGGUGAAAGCGGGGGAUCGCAAGACCUCGCGCUAUUGGAGCGGCCGAUGUCGGAUUAGCUAGUUGGUGGGGUAAAAGCCUACCAAGGCUACGAUCCGUAGCUGGUCUGAGAGGACGACCAGCCACACUGGGACUGAGACACGGCCCAGACUCCUACGGGAGGCAGCAGUGGGGAAUUUUGGACAAUGGGCGCAAGCCUGAUCCAGCCAUGCCGCGUGCGGGAAGAAGGCCUUCGGGUUGUAAACCGCUUUUGUCAGGGAAGAAACGGUUUGGGCUAAUACCCCGAACUAAUGACGGUACCUGAAGAAUAAGCACCGGCUAACUACGUG